rnacentral:rRNA from 1 species
CUUCUCGCUGACGAGCGGCGGACGGGUGAGUAAUACUUAGGAAUCUACCUAGUAGUGGGGGAUAGCUCGGGGAAACUCGAAUUAAUACCGCAUACGACCUACGGGAGAAAGGGGGCAACUUGUUGCUCUCGCUAUUAGAUGAGCCUAAGUCGGAUUAGCUAGAUGGUGGGGUAAAGGCCUACCAUGGCGACGAUCUGUAGCUGGUCUGAGAGGAUGAUCAGCCACACCGGGACUGAGACACGGCCCGGACUCCUACGGGAGGCAGCAGUGGGGAAUAUUGGACAAUGGGGGCAACCCUGAUCCAGCCAUGCCGCGUGUGUGAAGAAGGCCUUUUGGUUGUAAAGCACUUUAAGCAGUGAAGAAGACUCCAUGGUUAAUACCCAUGGACGAUGACAUUAGCUGCAGAAUAAGCACCGGCUAACUCUGUGCCAGCAGCCGCGGUAAUACAGAGGGUGCAAGCGUUAAUCGGAAUUACUGGGCGUAAAGCGAGCGUAGGUGGCUUGAUAAGUCAGAUGUGAAAGCCCCGGGCUUAACCUGGGAACGGCAUCUGAUACUGUUAGGCUAGAGUAGGUGAGAGGAAGGUAGAAUUCCAGGUGUAGCGGUGAAAUGCGUAGAGAUCUGGAGGAAUACCGAUGGCGAAGGCAGCCUUCUGGCAUCAUACUGACACUGAGGUUCGAAAGCGUGGGUAGCAAACAGGAUUAGAUACCCUGGUAGUCCACGCCGUAAACGAUGUCUACUAGUCGUUGGGUCCCUUGAGGACUUAGUGACGCAGCUAACGCAAUAAGUAGACCGCCUGGGGAGUACGGCCG